UUAGUUGUUUGGUUGGUGCAUGGGUGGGGGCUAUACCUGACGUCGUUGGUGUUUUUUACGGUAGCUAGGUUGAAAGAGGUGGGUAGCUGGCCCGCGUGCUGGGGGUGGAGGAGGAUGGAAGAAGGGGCGUGCUCAAGCGUGCGCGUAGGAGCGUCGGCCGCGGGGGUAGGGCACCGGAAGAAGCGACGGCCGCAUGGGGUAGGUCGGCGAAAGAAGCGGCGGCCGUGCGGGAUAGGGCGGCAGAGGAAGUAGUAGCCGCGCGGGGUAGGACGCGGGAAGAAGCGACGGCCGCGCGGGGUAGUGCGCCGGGAAGACGCGGCGGCCGCGCGGGGUAGGGCGGCGGAAGAAGCAGCAGCCGCACGGGAAGAACGCCGGAAGCGGUGGUGGAGGGCAGGGUGAGGUGGGAGGGAGCAAGGAGGUGGAGGAACGGGGCUAGGUCUGGCGGGUCUGGGGCUGCGGAGGUGGUUGCCGCGCGCGCCUGGAGGGAGGGAGAUGGCGGAGGGAGGAGAGGUCACCGACCGAAGGGUUCGCGGCUGCGCGCCGGGUAGAGGGGUUAGGGGCCUAGUCGAUCCCCCUAGGGCGCGAGUGUCGCUGGUGUCCCGGGGCGCGAUGGUAUACGCUUGAGCGGCCUAGGCCGGAGGGACUACCAGCACCUCAUGCUUCUGGCGGCCUAGGGGGGAGGGGGCGCUACUAUACGAGAGGGGGUCGCACGGAUGGUGCUGGUGCUGCCCCCCUCCAUGGGGGGUGACGGAGAGAAGUCGCUGCCCCCAGUGGCCGCUGAGACGGGAGGGGCAAGGUGGUGGAAGGAGGACUGACACCGUGCCGACCACCGCGACACGAGGCCGGCCGAGGAGGCCGUUCGAACGUCUGCUGUCCUGCUCCUCUAGGCUGUCACAAGACAUCAGUUGCCCACACACACACCUCGUGCAGGUCGGCCGUGCGCCGCUACGUCAGGCCGACCACGGUUGCACGUGAAGGGUUCGCCCUGGUACUUCAAAUGAAGGACCGCACUAUAUUAAAGAAACUUAAAUGUUCAAAACAAGUGGUACAUCAAGUCAAGUCAACGCUUAGUCUUUUUUCCGUGGGCUAAGGUUUUUUAAUUGAGACAUAAAAAGCCAAAGCAGGCCAAGUCGGUACAGGUUUUUAAACCACACUUAGCCCACGCAAAACGACGUCAUGCCGCGUAUCUCAAGUUAAAGCACAACCUAAACGUUACGUCACAACGACGACACGACAGUUUCUGAGCCACACAAAACCACGUCAAGCGAUCAGAGAGUAGACGUCGAGUAAUAGGGACACAUACUUCACAUCAAACACAAAACUACGUCAAGGGAUCAGAGAGUAGACGUCGAGUAAUGGGGAAACAUACUUCACGUUAAACAAAGUAUACAGAGUUUUAAGUUAGCUGAUAUAGUUGUGAAUGUCACGC
rnacentral:rRNA from 1 species